CACGUAGGGCGCAAGCGUUGUCCGGAAUUAUUGGGCGUAAAGAGCUCGUAGGCGGUCUGUCGCGUCGGCUGUGAAAACCCGGAGCUCAACUCCGGGCCUGCAGUCGAUACGGGCAGACUGGAGUUCGGCAGGGGAGACUGGAAUUCCUGGUGUAGCGGUGAAAUGCGCAGAUAUCAGGAGGAACACCGGUGGCGAAGGCGGGUCUCUGGGCCGAUACUGACGCUGAGGAGCGAAAGCGUGAGGAGCGAACAGG
rnacentral:rRNA from 1 species